rnacentral:rRNA from 1 species
UCUUUACGGAGAAAGCUUUAUGCACCAUUGGAUGAGCCUGCACUUGAUUAGUUUGUUGGUGGGGUAAUGGCCUACCAAGACUGUGAUCAAUAGCUGAUUUGAGAGGAUGAUCAGCCACAUUGGGACUGAGACACGGCCCAAACUCCUACGGGAGGCAGCAGUGGGGAAUCUUGCACAAUGGAGGAAACUCUGAUGCAGCGAUGCCGCGUGAGUGAAGAAGGCCCUUGGGUUGUAAAGCUCUUUCGUCGGGGAAGAAAAUGACUGUACCCGAAUAAGAAGGUCCGGCUAACUUCGUGCCAGCAGCCGCGGUAAUACGAAGGGACCUAGCGUAGUUCGGAAUUACUGGGCUUAAAGAGUUCGUAGGUUGUUGAAAUAGUUGGUGGUGAAAUCCCAGAGCUUAACUCUGGAACUGCCAUCAAAACUUUUCAGCUAGAGUAUGAUAGAGGAAAGCAGAAUUUCUAGUGUAGAGGUGAAAUUCGUAGAUAUUAGAAAGAAUACCAAAUGCGAAGGCAGCUUUCUGGAUCAUUACUGACACUGAGGAACGAAAGCAUGGGUAGCGAAGAGGAUUAGAUACCCUCGUAGUCCAUGCCGUAAACGAUGUGUGUUAGACGUUGGAAAUUUAUUUUCAGUGUCGCAGGGAAACCGAUAAACACACCGCCUGGGGAGUACGACCGCAAGGUUAAAACUCAAAUGAAUUGACGGGGACCCGCACAAGUAGUGGAGCAUGUGGUUUAAUUCGAAGAUACGCGCAGAACCUUACCAACACUUGACAUGUUCGUCGCGACUCUAAGAGAUUAGAGUUUUCGGUUCGGCCGGACGAAACACAGUGCUGCAUGGCUGUCGUCAGCUCGUGUCGUGAGAU